GUUGGGUAGGGGAGCGUUCUGUAAGCCGUUGAAGGUGUGUCGUGAGGCAUGCUGGAGGUAUCAGAAGUGCGAAUGCUGACAUAAGUAACGAUAAAGCGGGUGAAAAGCCCGCUCGCCGGAAGACCAAGGGUUCCUGUCCAACGUUAAUCGGGGCAGGGUGAGUCGACCCCUAAGGCGAGGCCGAAAGGCGUAGUCGAUGGGAAACGGGUUAAUAUUCCCGUACUUGGUGUUACUGCGAAGGGGGGACGGAGAAGGCUAUGUUGGCCGGGCGACGGUUGUCCCGGUUUAAGCGUGUAGGUGUGUGUUCCAGGUAAAUCCGGUUCACUUUAACACUGAGGCGUGAUGACGAGGCACUACGGUGCUGAAGCAACAAAUGCCCUGCUUCCAGGAAAAGCCUCUAAGCCUCAGGUAACAUCAAAUCGUACCCCAAACCGACACAGGUGGUCAGGUAGAGAAUACCAAGGCGCUUGAGAGAACUCGGGUGAAGGAACUAGGCAAAAUGGUGCCGUAACUUCGGGAGAAGGCACGCUGACACGUAGGUGAAGUGGUUUACCCAUGGAGCUGAAGUCAGUCGAAGAUACCAGCUGGCUGCAACUGUUUAUUAAAAACACAGCACUGUGCAAACACGAAAGUGGACGUAUACGGUGUGACGCCUGCCCGGUGCCGGAAGGUUAAUUGAUGGGGUCAGCGCAAGCGAAGCUCCUGAUCGAAGCCCCGGUAAACGGCGGCCGUAACUAUAACGGUCCUAAGGUAGCGAAAUUCCUUGUCGGGUAAGUUCCGACCUGCACGAAUGGCGUAAUGAUGGCCAGGCUGUCUCCACCCGGGACUCAGUGAAAUUGAACUCGCUGUGAAGAUGCAGUGUACCCGCGGCAAGACGGAAAGACCCCGUGAACCUUUACUAUAGCUUGACACUGAACACUGGUCCUUGAUGUGCAGGAUAGGUGGGAGGCUUUGAAGUGUGGACGCCAGUCUGCAUGGAGCCAUCCUUGAAAUACCACCCUUUAAUGGCUGGUGUUCUAACGUGGGCCCGUGAACCGGGUUGCGGACAGUGUCUGGUGGGUAGUUUGACUGGGGCGGUCUCCUCCUAAAGAGUAACGGAGGAGCACGAAGGUUGGCUAAUCCUGGUCGGACAUCAGGAGGUUAGUGCAAUGGCAUAAGCCAGCUUGACUGCGAGCGUGACGGCGCGAGCAGGUGCGAAAGCAGGUCAUAGUGAUCCGGUGGUUCUGAAUGGAAGGGCCAUCGCUCAACGGAUAAAAGGUACUCCGGGGAUAACAGGCUGAUACCGCCCAAGAGUUCAUAUCGACGGCGGUGUUUGGCACCUCGAUGUCGGCUCAUCACAUCCUGGGGCUGAAGUAGGUCCCAAGGGUAUGGCUGUUCGCCAUUUAAAGUGGUACGCGAGCUGGGUUUAGAACGUCGUGAGACAGUUCGGUCCCUAUCUGCCGUGGGCGCUGGAAGAUUGAGGGGGGCUGCUCCUAGUACGAGAGGACCGGAGUGGACGCAUCACUGGUGUUCGGGUUGUCAUGCCAAUGGCACUGCCCGGUAGCUACAUGCGGAAGAGAUAAGUGCUGAAAGCAUCUAAGCACGAAACUUGCCCCGAGAUGAAUCUUCCCUGAGCCUUUAAGGCUCCUGAAGGAACGUUGA
rnacentral:rRNA from 1 species